rnacentral:rRNA from 1 species
AGUUUGAUCAGUGGCUCGAGGACGAACGCUGGCGGCGUGCCUAACACAUGCAAGUCGAACGGAGAUACGAUUUCGGUUGUAUCUUAGUGGCGAACGGGUGAGUAACGCGUGAGCAACCUGACCUUUAGAGGGGGAUAACACUUGGAAACAGGUGCUAAUACCGCAUAAGACCACGACCUGACAUCAGGAUGAGGUCAAAGGAGCAAUCCGCUAAAGGAGGGGCUCGCGUCCCAUUAGAUAGAUGGCGGGGUAACGGCCCACCAUGUCGACGAUGGGUAGCCGAGCUGAGAGGCUGAUCGGCCACACUGGAACUGAGACACGGUCCAGACUCCUACGGGAGGCAGCAGUGGAGAAUAUUGGGCAAUGGGCGCAAGCCUGACCCAGCAACGCCGCGUGAGGGAGAAGGCCUUCGGGUUGUAAACCUCUGUCCUUGGUGACGAAACAAAUGACGGUAGCCAAGGAGGAAGCCCCGGCUAACUACGUG